rnacentral:tRNA from 1 species
GUUUUAAUAGUUUAAUAAAAACAAUGAUUUUGUAAAUCAUAAUUAGUAUAACACUUUAAAACU